rnacentral:lncRNA from 1 species
GGGAUAGAGGGAUCCUUCAGUCGCGGCUUGGUCGGGAGAGCCGCUUGGGGAGUGGGUUGCGCUUUGGUCUUGACCCCACGGGCCGCAACCUUAGCGUAACUGGGCUUUGCAGCCACCCCAUCCUUCAACUCCUUAGUUACAACUCUCUUCUCAGACCGAGACGUCGUCUUCGGCUGAGAACUGGGCUGGGGUCUAGAGCUUGGUCCAGAUCCACCACCCUGUUGCAGACGGUCAACCUGGGCCCGGAGAGAGUUUAUCUCCGCACUCUGAGCGGCCACCAUCUGCGCUAUGCGACUGAACAGAAGCAAAACCUUGCCUCCUACGUCCUUUCGCACCUUAUUAUCGGGAUCACCGAGGAACUCAACGAGCUCCUCUUCCAUCCCAACCAGUUGUUUGUUGCGCACUACUGAACUGGUAAUCCGGGGAUCCGCAGCCAAAGCCGGCUGGGUGGCAGCUUUUCCGACCAAAAAGCCAUCCCCCUUCUCUCCACUCUGCAAGGACCGGGCCUGGUCCUGCCUUUCAUUCUCAACUACUGGGUCAGAAACCACAAACCCAGCAGUCUGCUCGGACUGAGGAGGAACAUCCCCAACCUGGGAAAGCCCCUCCCUCCCCACAUUAUGGAAAGACCGGUCCCGGACCUUCCUUCUCUUUGACGACUUAGGCUGAUACGCCUGAGCCGCCGCCUCGGAUUCGGAGUCGGUCGAAACCUCCUCCGAUUGCGAGAUGGCCCACUUGGUCAUCUUUGCUACUGUUGAGGAACCCACAUGGGUUUCCUCCUGUGAAACAGAGGAAACCGGCAGGGGUUCCUCCGUUUGAUUUUCCGAAAGGUUUACCAAACCCUUCUUACUCUUGCUCCGGGUGAGCCGGAUGUCCGGGGCCUGCAUGGCCUCCCCAUCCUUAAACCCGCUGACCACGGGCUCAGGAAUCCUGUUGUCAACAGGAUUUCCACACACCACAGCCUCACGGCUGUCACUCCACUCCUCCCCUCCUCAUCAUCCGGAAGGAUGACUACACUAGGUAAUGAAUUAAUAGAAGCCAUAACCCACAUUGAACUGACAGGAAGGGAACAGCUUGAGGUAACCUGUCAAUCCCCCAAGCCGGGCCAUAGAACUCCACUGCGAUGGCCUGGUCCAGCGGUGGGCGCCGUUUCUGGUUUCUAACCCUCCACCAUGCAUCCUCUAGGCACGGCCACACACACCAAGGAUUCGGGCCCCCAUUCGUCGCCUCUUACGACCCUCGCAGGGGGAAACGGUAAGCAUAUUCUAAACCCCUGCUUACUGGGGCUGUGACAUCGU